rnacentral:rRNA from 1 species
UACGUAGGGGGCAAGCGUUGUCCGGAUUUAUUGGGCGUAAAGAGCGUGUAGGCGGCCAGGUAGGUGGGUUGUGAAAACUGGAGGCUCAACCUUCAGACGUCGACCCAAACCCCCUGGCUAGAGUCCGGAAGAGGAGAGUGGAAUUCCAGGUGUAGCGGUGAAAUGCGUAGAUAUCUGGAGGAACACCGGUGGCGAAGGCGGCAUUCUGGACCGACAUUGACGCUGAGGAGCGAAAGCCAGGGGAGCAAACGGG